AUUGAACGCUGGCGGCAGGCCUAACACAUGCAAGUCGAGCGAGCGGCGGACGGGUGAGUAAUGUGUGGGAAACUGCCUGAUGGGGGGGGAUAACUACUGGAAACGGUAACUAAUACCGCGUACCAUCAGAUCUGCCCAGAUGGGAUUUGCUGGUAGGGGGGGUAAAGGCUUACCAAGGCGACGAUCCCUAGCUGGUCUGAGAGGAUGAUCAGCCACACUGGAACUGAGACACGGUCCAGACUCCUACGGGAGGCAGCAGUGGGGAAUAUUGCACAAUGGGCGCAAGCCUGAUGCAGCCAUGCCGCGUGUGUGAAGAAGGCCUUCGGGUUGUAAAGCACUUUCAGCGGGGAGGCGUUACCCGCAGAAGAAGCACCGGCUAACUCCGUGCCAGCAGCCGCGGUAAUAC
rnacentral:rRNA from 1 species